UGAGAUGGGCCUCCAUGGACAUUUCAAACUAACAGUACUACUGCAACUUCCUCUUCUUGUUGUUGACCUUGACAACCAAAAAAAUUACAAAAAGUGAGAAUGGAGAAAUUAUAUAUACACAUACAUACACACACACACACACACACACACACACAUGUAAAAGCAAGCAAAGCAAAGCAAAACCUGAUUUUUUCUUAAUUUCUUACAGGGCGAUGGUGCCUAGCUCCCUGAAGGUUCA
rnacentral:lncRNA from 1 species